GGUCACCUAUACCCUCACACUUUCCUUCUCUCUAUCCCGUGGCUCUCUCUCUCCUCCAUCCCGACUCUCUCUCUACACACACCCAUACGUACGGACACACCCAAAAAUCUUCCAAACUCGACGGAUCGAGGCAACCAAGGUAUGCAUCUUCAUCCUUGAGUCAUUUUAAGUCGAUUGGUACUAGUUUUAGGAAGUGAAACCCUCGGAAUCACGUGAAACCCGAACCUAUAUUUUUCGUCACUGUUCAUGCACUCGUAAUAUGUUGUGUUUCAGGGAAUUCUAAGCUUAUAGUGAGCUUAGUGAGGUCCCAAGGAAGCUCGGAGUGCUUCGUUGGAAGGAUUUGGACGUCGGGAUCACGAGGGUUAAGUUUGGCCGAUUUUGUUUGGAUUUUUCCGGUGAGAUUUCUUGAUUUUUAGAGCCUUAAACUAGUCUAUUGUGAUUCUACAUGUUGAGGGCUUUAAAUUGAUAUAUUAUACGAAGAAAAUGGUUGAGAAACGAAGGAGAACGAAGCAUUUGAAAAUUCCCCAGUUUUCCGGCCGCCGGAAAAAACCAGUCCGGCGAACCAAGGUUGGGGAUGAUGCGCGUGGGGGCGCGUGUCCCCGUGCUUGUCCUGGCGCGUGGGGGCGCGUGGCACAUCAAAAAAAUAAUCUAAAAAUAUGUCGACGUUCGUGACGUCGAGUAGAUCACUGUGGUAUAUUCAUAUACCCAAAUUGAGUACCGUAUGAGAAAGUUAUUACGAUUAUUGGUUAGGUGCUUUAAAUAACGUUUUAUAGUUUUCGCCUUUAGGUGAAAAUAUGAAUUGACGAUCCGACCGUUGGAUCGUCACCAAACUUUGAUACGUUGAAAUACGUAAUAUUUGAGGAUUAUUGGAACUUACGGAUUGGGAAUCCGAGUUACGGAUCUUCCGGAAUUGGAGUUGUAAGUUCAUAAAAUAAAAUGUUAACCGUCACUUAGUUUUGGAAAUUGACGGAGAUCCGACCGUUGGAUGGUAAUGAAAUUUCAGGAUGUUGUCCUAGAGAUAUAUUGUGGACCUCUGGAAGUUAUGGAUUUAAAAUCUGAGUUGCAGAUCUUUCGGAUCAAUCUAUGUAGUGACGUAUUUUAUAUAAGUUAUAUUCUAUCGAUAUGAUUUCUGAGGUUGGAUUUGAUUAUUGUUCUAGGCGGCGAUCGUCAUGACGCCUUGAUGAGUUGUGCUAGGGAGUUGUAGGGCGAACUCCAGGUGAGUGGGCAGUUUUGUUUUCGUAAUACCUAUAUACUAUUGAGUUUUCCCAGAAAUUGAAUUUAAAUGAAAGCAUGAUUUAAAAUGCCAUGGAUAGAUUUAUAUGAAAAGUAUGAUUUGAAAUGCCAUGCAUAGAAGUAUAUGAAAAGCAUGAAUUGAUAUAUGAUGCAUAUAUAUAUUUGAAUUGGUGCUGUGGACGCACAGGUAAGUAUCAGGUGAGUUUUAUAUUAUUCAUGUGCAUUGUUGAUGUGUAUAUUGUGGAUAGCUCAUAACCUGCAAUCAUGGUGUUAGUGCUUAUAUUAUUCACCACACCGCACGCUCGUCUUGGAUCCAAGUAGGUGGAUGUCGUACAGACCAAGUGAGGGUUCCGACAUGCUAGUCGUAUAGAUUACUAGAUGUGAUUCCGACUACUGGGUGACCUUAGAUUAUGUGCACAGAUGAUUGAUUAGAGAAGCACUAGAGCGUAUUAUUACACCAUCCAUGUCGUACAGACUACUUCAGGUAGUUCCGACUUAUCUGCAGUGUAGUGCCGUACAGGUCAUCGAGGUGACUCCGGUUGGAUUGGAUGUUGAGCUAUGGAAUUAACCGUACAGGACCAACUGCAGGGUCUCCGGUUAAUUCAACUUUUCACCUGUUACAUUGAUGCUUCAUUUAUUUUGUUUUCGAAAUUAAAACAUGGCAUACUUUCGGGUUUUAAAGAAAAAUUGAUGAUUCGAGAUUUAUGAAAAGUAUUAUGUUAUUAUACUAUUUUCUGGGAAAAGUAUACAGGUUUUACAGUGAGGGGUUAGAAUUAUUUUUGGCGAAAUGUUUUUGAAAAGCUUGGUUUUACUGACCCACUCAAUUUUGUUUUUCGCCCCUCCAGGUUCUUGAUAGCAGAGUUUUGGUGGCCACGAGGAAUCCAACGGUAUUCUGACAGAAAUCACAAAAGUAGGACUCACCCUCGAGGGUUUCCAUUUUAAUAAUUGUAUUUUAAAAGCUUCCGAACUGUGUAAAUGGUUACGUCACUCUCAUGUGACGGCCAGCAUGCCCUCCUUCGGGACGGGGUGUGUCAUAGAAG
rnacentral:lncRNA from 1 species